rfam:TPA: Aspergillus nidulans FGSC A4 chromosome VIII
GCCCUUAUAGCUCAGUCGUAGAGCGCUCCACUCGUAACUAAUUGAAAUGGAGAGGUCCGCAGUUCAAUCCUGCGUGGGGGCA